CCUCCAGGCAUACACAGUGUCCUCUCCAUGUCAUCAAAAUUUUCUCCCUCUUCCAUAUUUAGUGCAAACUGACACUGCUUACCAGCCCACUCAGUAUGCAGAAACCUGUUAAUAGUAUCACGAUCAUACCAAAUAAUCUUUCCUCUCACAUAGCUCAUGUAGUCUUCUGUAUGAGUGUUGCCAAAUGACCUUGCAUUAGUGUAGAAUUCCUUGACUCCCGC
rnacentral:lncRNA from 1 species